GCCGGGCAUGGUGGCGCAAGCCUGUAGUCCCAGCUACUCGGGAGGCUGGGGCAGGAGAAUCACUUGAGCCCAGGAGCUGGAGGCCGCAGUGAGCUGUGAUCAUGCCACUGCAUUCCAGCCUGGGCGACAGAGUGAGACCCAGACUCAG
rnacentral:SRP_RNA from 1 species